rnacentral:rRNA from 1 species
UACGUAGGGGGCUAGCGUUGUCCGGAAUCAUUGGGCGUAAAGAGCGUGUAGGCGGUCCGGUAAGUCCGCUGUGAAAGUCGGGGGCUCAACCCUCGAAUGCCGGUGGAUACUGUCGGGCUAGAGUGCGGAAGAGGCGAGUGGAAUUCCUGGUGUAGCGGUGAAAUGCGCAGAUAUCAGGAGGAACACCUAUUGCGAAGGCAGCUCGCUGGGACGUUACUGACGCUGAGACGCGAAAGCGUGGGGAGCAAUCAGG